UUGCUAUCUUAGUGGCGGACGGGUGAGUAACGCGUGGGUAACCUGCCUUGCACUGGGGGAUAACACUUAGAAAUAGGUGCUAAUACCGCAUAACAGUAGGAGACGCAUGUCUUUUACUUGAAAAUUCCGGUGGUGUAAGGUGGACCCGCGUCUGAUUAGCUUGUUGGCGGGGUAACGGCCCACCAAGGCAACGAUCAGUAGCCGGCCUGAGAGGGUGAACGGCCACAUUGGGACUGAGACACGGCCCAAACUCCUACGGAAGGCAGCAG
rnacentral:rRNA from 1 species